UGCCAGUCUCAGCAGGGCUGUGCUGAAAGCUGAGUCAUCUGUCUCUCCAGACUACAGUCCAAUUGAGUGGGUUAUCAAGUCAAUCCCCACUGCUGUAAUAGUUAUCUCUAAGCAAAGGAUUUUCACAAAAUUGACUUAAAACAGCUUUUGAAAGAUCUAAGCUUUCCAUAUCAUGUGCUUACCUGCUAUGAGAUGUAUAAACACCCUGGAGUCCCCUGGGAAAGACAGAUUAGUGGCCCUUGAAAUAGCGAAAUAUCAUUCAGCAGCAAACAAACGUUUUCUCAUGUAAAAGCUGCCCUGUGAAAGCAGCAUAUACCUCGUUGUACAAAAAUAAACAGAUUAAUGCUCAUGCAACUGAUGUUUUGUACAGUGUGGGCACUGACAUGGCAAGCUUAUGAAGUUGGGGCCAGGCCAGUUUUGAUUCCAGGAACACAGCAAGAGAUUGAUUAAAGUGAGCUUUAUACCAUCUGUGGUCAGGUUAUGUUUGGGAUAGUUCAUAUAUCUGCAGGAGCAGCAAUAAAUAUGCCAGCAGAAACAACAGCUUUUCAUGAACUGAGAAAAGGAGACAAUCAGGGACAUUAUUUCUGCUUAUCAGUAAGGACUCAGGGAGAACAACUGGUUUCCUGUCACCUGUGAGAAAAGAUCACCUGCAAUGAAAGCUGAUACUGGAAGAUGCAGCCUCAGGGAUACUAAUUGGACUCAGAAGUGAUUUGCCGGUACCUUGCAUUUUAGCACCGAUAUCAGAAAAAGUGGAAAACUACAGGAAACACUUUCCAUGGUUAAGGAAAGGCAAGAAAGCUCCAUUCCUGAAGAUGUGGAGAGUUUUCUUCCUUAUGUCUCCCUGAGUCUGACACUCUCUUUUACAUCCUGCUCAAUUUCAGGAUACAAUGCGGCAGCUCACCUGCAGGUCUCCUUCAAAUGAAGCACUUUCUACCUCUGUUAUCCUUUCCACUUUUCUCACCGGAUCCAAAAAUUGAAAAAGCACAGACCUUUAUCCCACACGUGUACUGCACAGUGACAUGGACAUCGUCCUGCUCCACUAUCCAGAUGCUGUUGGACAGAGAACAGAGAAGCACCCUCCUGAUGGAACACUACUUCCUAUCAUCUUAUCUGUCACAUAACAGGCAGAUCUCCUAACACAAGACUCAGUAUCACUCCAGGUGAUGGAUCUGCUGAGAAAUGAAGUGAAAACUCAGUGUCUGAUAGAAACUGCACAAUGAAUUUUUGGAGUCAUACAAAGUAUGGCUGUGGGAGAACUGUCAAGUUGAUCUGCAGGGGUGGUUUGUUUUGUUCUAUUUUGUGUCUCUGAUAGUGAACAGUGUUGGUUGCUUUCAAGCAAUACUCUGUAAAGAAAGUAAAUAUAGGCUAAGGAGUAAUAAAUCUUACCAAAUAAUUCUUUUCA
rnacentral:lncRNA from 1 species